rnacentral:rRNA from 1 species
UACGUAGGGGGCAAGCGUUGUCCGGAUUUAUUGGGUGUAAAGAGCGUGUAGGCGGCCAUACAGGUCAGCUGUGAAAACUCGAGGCUCAACCUCGAGACGUCGGUUGAAACCGUAUGGCUAGAGUCCGGAAGAGGAGAGUGGAAUUCCUGGUGUAGCGGUGAAAUGCGCAGAUAUCAGGAAGAACACCCGUGGCUAAGGCGGCUCUCUAGUACGGUACUGACGCUGAGACGCGAAAGCGUGGGGAGCGAACAGG